rnacentral:rRNA from 1 species
ACGCUUAAAACAUGCAAGUCUAACGAGAAGCUUUGGUGCUUGCACCGAAGUGGGAAGUGGCGAACGGGUGAGUAACACAUGAGAAACCUGCCCCGAAGAUUGGGAUAAGCCUUGGAAACGAGGUCUAAUACCGAAUACCUUCUAAUUAUCACAUGGUAAAUAGAAGAAAGCUCAGGCGCUUUGGGAUGGUCUCGUGGCCUAUCAGCUUGUUGGUGAGGUAAAAGCUCACCAAGGCAACGACGGGUAGCUGGUCUGAGAGGAUGACCAGCCACACUGGAACUGAGACACGGUCCAAACUCCUACGGGAGGCAGCAGUUAGGAAUCUUGCACAAUGGGGGAAACCCUGAUGCAGCGAUGCCUCGUGCGGGAUGAAGGCCUUAGGGUUGUAAACCGCUUUCAGUUGGGAAGAAAGUGACGGUACCAACAGAAGAAGCCCCGGCCAACUAUGUGCCAGCAGCCGCGGCGAUACAUAGGGGGCGAGCGUUGUCCGGAUUUACUGGGCGUAAAGAGCUCGUAGGCGGUUUAAUAAGUCGACAAGUGAAAUCUCCAGGCUCAACCUGGAGCAGCCUUGCGAUACUAUUAUGACUUGAGUGUGGUAGAGGAGUGUGGAAUUCCCAGUGUAGCGGUGAAAUGCGCAGAUAUUGGGAGGAACACCUAUGGCGAAGGCAGCACUCUGGGCCAUUACUGACGCUGAGGAGCGAAAGCGUGGGGAGCGAACAGGAUUAGAUACCCUGGUAGUCCACGCCGUAAACGUUGGACACUAGGUGUGGGAUGCGAUCAACGCAUUCCGUGCCGAAGUUAACGCAUUAAGUGUCCCGCCUGGGGAGUACGAUCGCAAGAUUAAAACUCAAAGGAAUUGACGGGGGCCCGCACAAGCGGUGGAGUAUGUGGUUUAA